CCCAGGGCGCCGCCUGAUGCUGUCACUGGACACAAUCGAGUGGGAGCUGGGCGAGGCCAUUCCGUUCGAAGGGGGCGUGGCUUUGAAAAAUGGGCGAGACCAUUGAGGAGACAGACAGAAAGCGAAUUUGGUCCACGGAGGAUAAGACCUACCCAAUAAAGAAGAAAGCUGUUACAAGGAGCCUGGAGAUGGGUCUAAUUGUUAUACCUCUCUUUCCCAUUUUGGAAAGAUAAGAUCAUUCAACUUUGUCCAGAAUCCCACUGGAGCAUUGCAGCACAUCAAAAUAUUUGGGAGUUACCCAAGACCACGCUCUGACUUACAAGAAGCACUGCUGACUAUCAAGCAAAUUGUGGGUCCUAAUAAUAAUAUCAUGUGAAAGCUGACUGACACAACCUGGGGAUUGCAACCAGAUACAGUGAAGAUAUCUGCCCUUGCACUUUGCUACUCUGCUGCUGAAAGUGUGGAAUACAUCUCACCAUGUUAAAACAGUGAAUCUGGCUCUUAAUGUGACAUGCCACAUUGUCACAGGAUGUCUACUCCCAACACCACUGGAGAAAUUAUAUUGUUUAACCGGUAUCGCAUCACCUGACAUCCAUUGGGAAGUAGUAGCCAGUAAUGAAAGGACCAAGGCAUUGACAUAUCCAACCCAUCCUCUGUUUGGAUAUCAUCCAGAAAAACGCCUUCAAUCAAGAAAUAGCUUCCUAAGAUCUACAGAGAUACUUGCAGGAACACCUCAGUAAGCAAGAGUCCAAAAGUGGCAGGCUAAAACCCAGAACCUCAAUCAGUGGCUGAUACCAGAUGAGAGACUCCCUCCUGGGCACACAGAAGACUGGGCGACUUGGAAGGCCGUGAACAGACUGCGCUCUGGCACCACGAGAUGCAGAGCCAACCUUAAGAAAUGGGGCUACAAAGUGGAGUCCACGGCAUGCAAAUGUGGAGAAGAGCAAACCACAGACCACCUAUUACAAUGCAGUCUGUGCUCCACCACAUGCACAAUGGAGGACCUUCAGAGGCACUCCAAGUGGCCAGCUUCUGAUCAAAGGACAUUUAGUAUAAUGCUAAGUUUUUAACUUUGUUUGUGGUUUUUUUUAUACAUCUUACAGUAUGCUCAGCCUGACUUACCAGGCGGAGAUAUUGCAGUGGCAGUCGUCCCACGGCCCGCCAUCUCCUUCCCAGAAGCCCCCUGCACAGGGUGAAUUGUAUUCUUAAUUUGCUUCUGACACAAUGAAUAAAUAUUCAACCAAAGCUUAGAAAUUUCUAAUAAGACGUGUCCCACCAAAACGGAGGCCAAAAGGAAAUGCUAGUUUGCCCCAACUUGCAAAUGCUUAUUUAUAUACACAGAUGCAAAAUUAGAUAUUGAUUUAAGAAAAAUUACAAUAUAUCUUAUACAAGUAGAGAAACCUAAUGAAUUGGGGUUCAUAUACACACAGGGCUAAAAUGCAACUUAGUCCUGAUUCCAAUCCUCACGUGAGACACAAUGUUUGCUGUAUCAAAGAGCAAUUCCAAAUCUUGUUAUUGUCUGGGAGUUAUUAUUAGAGAUGUGCACGAAAAUUUUUCCUUCAUUUCCUUCGUGCCAUCAUUUCAUUUCGACCGUUCAGCUACACAAAACAAAUGAUAACAUUUUCGUAAGAAAUGAAAGCCACAUAGUCAUCGUGCUUGCUUUCGUUUUCCUUUUGUUUCUGCCCUGUAACAAUAAACAGGUACUGAUAGA